GAGUUUGAUCCUGGCUCAGGACGAACGCUGGCGGCGUGCUUAACACAUGCAAGUCGAACGAUGAACCACUUCGGUGGGGAUUAGUGGCGAACGGGUGAGUAACACGUGGGCAAUCUGCCCUGCACUCUGGGACAAGCCCUGGAAACGGGGUCUAAUACCGGAUACUGACCAUCGCAGGCAUCUGUGAUGGUCGAAAGCUCCGGCGGUGCAGGAUGAGCCCGCGGCCUAUCAGCUUGUUGGUGAGGUAGUGGCUCACCAAGGCGACGACGGGUAGCCGGCCUGAGAGGGCGACCGGCCACACUGGGACUGAGACACGGCCCAGACUCCUACGGGAGGCAGCAGUAGGGAAUUUUGCGCAAUGGGCGAAAGCCUGACGCAGCAACGCCGCGUGCGGGAAGAAGGCCCUCGGGUUGUAAACCGCUUUCAGCAGGAGCGAAACUGACGGUACCUGCAGAAGAAGCCCCGGCCAACUACGUGCCAGCAGCCGCGGUGAUACGUAGGGGGCAAGCGUUGUCCGGAUUCAUUGGGCGUAAAGAGCUCGUAGGCGGUUCGGUAAGUCAGGUGUAAAAACUCCAGGCUCAACUUGGAGAGGCCACCUGAUACUGCCGUGACUAGAGUCCGGUAGAGGAGCAUGGAAUUCCUGGUGUAGCGGUGAAAUGCGCAGAUAUCAGGAGGAACACCAGCGGCGAAGGCGGUGCUCUGGGCCGGAACUGACGCUGAGGAGCGAAAGCGUGGGAGCGAACAGGAUUAGAUACCCUGGUAGUCCACGCCGUAAACGUUGGGCACUAGGUGUGGGACCUCGUCAACGGGUCCUGUGCCGUAGCUAACGCAUUAAGUGCCCGCCUGGGGAGUACGGCCGCAAGGCUAAAACUCAAAGGAAUUGACGGGGGCCCCACAAGCGGCGGAGCAUGUUGCUUAAUUCGAGGCAACGCGAAGAACCUUACCUGGGCUUGACAUGUGGGGAAAAGCCGUAGAGAUACGGUGUCCUUCGGGGCCCCAUGCAGGUGGUGCAUGGCUGUCGUCAGCUCGUGUCGUGAGAUGCUGGGUUAAGUACCGCAACGAGCGCAACCCUCGUCCUAUGUUGCCAGCGGGUAAUGCCGGGGACUCGUAGGAGACUGCCGGGGUCAACUCGGAGGAAGGUGGGGACGACGUCAAGUCAUCAUGCCCCUUACGUCCAGGGCUGCAAACAUGCUACAAUGGCCGGUACAAAGGGCUGCUAUACCGUGAGGUUGAGCGAAUCCCAAAAAGCCGGUAUCAGUUCGGAUCGGAGUGUGCAACUCGACUCCGUGAAGCCAGAGUCGCUAGUAAUCCCGGAUCAGCAACGCCGGGGUGAAUACGUUCCCGGGCCUUGUACACACCGCCCGUCACACCACGAAAGUCGGCAACACCCGAAGCCAGUGGCCCAACCCGCAAGGGAGGGAGCUGUCGAAGGUGGGGUCAGCGAUUGGGGUGAAGUCGUAACAAGGUAGCCGUACCGGAAGGUGCGGCUGGAUCACCUCCUUUCU
rnacentral:rRNA from 1 species